rnacentral:rRNA from 1 species
GUAGCAUAAUCAUUUGUCUUUUAAUUGGAGACUGGUAUGAAUGGCUAAACGAGAAAUUAACUUUUUUUGUUAUAUAAAUUGAACUUAAUUUUUCAGUGAAAAAGCUGAAAUUUUUCAGAAAGACGAGAAGACCCUAUAGAGUUUUAUGUCUCUAAAUAUAUUAUCUAAUUUGAUUUUUAUAGAUUUCAUAUUAAAGGACAUUUUGUUGGGGCGACAUUAAGAUAUAAAAAACUCUUUAUUUUCAAAAUUUUUAUAAAAAGUUUGCUUGAUCCUCUAAAAGAGAUCAAAAGAAAAAAUUACCUUAGGGAUAACAGCGUAAUCUUUUUUGAGAGUUCUAAUCGACAAAAAGGUUUGCGACCUCGAUGUUGGACUAAAAUUUAGGCAGGGUGCAGCAGUUCUGCUUUUAGGUCUGUUCGACCUAUAAUAUUUUACACGAUCUGAGUUCAGACCGGCGUAAGCCAGGUUGGU